GGACCGGGUAGAAUUUAACGGGAAUCUUGCCGGGAGGCUUGAAUCCUAUUUUUAUUUUAAAAGAAAGGGGUCACUCCAGAUUUUAAAAAGCGUCCUUUUCCAUCGAGCCCAGCCUCUUAUGUUUUCCUGGCAAGAUAAUAUCCUGGCCAGCUACCAGCUUUACAAUCUACUGUACAGCGAUCCUUCUAGAAUUUGCAGCCUGUCUCUAAAAUGCUGCUCCAGAAACCGCUACCACCAUUUAUCCAACAGAGAUGUCAAUCUGCAUUUUCCUUUUUAGCUGCCAGAACAGGAGCUAAAUCAAGGAGGCACGUAUUCCCAUUCUCUGCACAAUCCUUUCAGAUGCACUUCAGUAAGGGAACUUCCCUGUCUUUGUGCAAGUCCAACUACAUUUCUGGAUUUUAACCUGCAAAGACAAUCCUGGGGCUACAUUUGCCACCUACUGCAUAUCAUGUCAUUCACUUGUGACCUUUAUACAAGACACUGAAAUCUUUCCAAUUUCUGCAGAAUUUGCUGCAACACUUUUGGGUAGUCUUCACUUCUGUGUUGUGCAAAAUACAUCGCACAGUUCUGAGCUAUUGUGAAGCCAACCUGUUUUCCACUGAAAGGCUUUUGUGACUGAUCACUUGAUGGAUCCUAAGCCUUCCCCACCCUGCUGAAGAGUCAAAAAAAUAAAAAGCCAGUUUUCCAGAGAUAUGGGCAAAACAGUGCCCUGACCAAAAUGGAUUGUGUAUCUUUUAAGCACAAUAAAAGGUAGAGGAAGAAGAUGCUUGAUCUUUUCCUUAUUUUUCCUUUUAUCUACUUCCUAAGACGGUGGU